rnacentral:rRNA from 1 species
UUGAAGGUUGGGUAACACUAACUGGAGGACCGAACCGACUAAUGUUGAAAAAUUAGCGGAUGACUUGUGGCUGGGGGUGAAAGGCCAAUCAAACCGGGAGAUAGCUGGUUCUCCCCGAAAGCUAUUUAGGUAGCGCCUCGUGAAUUCAUCUCCGGGGGUAGAGCACUGUUUCGGCAAGGGGGUCAUCCCGACUUACCAACCCGAUGCAAACUGCGAAUACCGGAGAAUGUUAUCACGGGAGACACACGGCGGGUGCUAACGUCCGUCGUGAAGAGGGAAACAACCCAGACCGCCAGCUAAGGUCCCAAAGUCAUGGUUAAGUGGGAAACGAUGUGGGAAGGCCCAGACAGCCAGGAUGUUGGCUUAGAAGCAGCCAUCAUUUAAAGAAAGCGUAAUAGCUCACUGGUCGAGUCGGCCUGCGCGGAAGAUGUAACGGGGCUAAACCAU